CAUGCAGCGUUGCUUCUACUUCAGAAUUUCGUAUUUUCAUUUAAUUCAGCAUACAAUACAGCUACAGGCAGCGAAGCUUCAAUCAAUGAUUCCAGGAAUCUCAUUAAUAAUAAUACCAGGUUUGCACUUAACUCCAAUUUUCUACUACCUAUGGUUCAUUAUAAUUAUGGAAAUAUGACAUCGUCAUUCGCGGCUAUAAAACUAUGGAAUGCUUUAACCACUACCAUUAAAUCUUCAUCCUUUCAUGCAUUCAAUCAUGCCCUUGAGCUAAUUUAAUUUAACUAAGUUUACAUAGUUACACUACCUUUGCCAUUUAUAUGUACUGACAGUAUUUUUAUGCACUAUAGGAUUGUAUACUGACAAUUGUUUUGUUUAAUUUUUUCUACGUCGUAUUUCACGCAAUUGUUUUUGUUUGCUUUGCGUUUGCUUGCUCAACUUUCAUACAUUUUUUCAAUGUUAUUAUUAACCGAGGGUCCCGCCGCAGUCUUUGACUUUGGGACCCUCGUCUGCAUAUUAUCUCUUAUCUACAUCUUA
rnacentral:lncRNA from 1 species